CGUGGUUCGACUGCUCGGAGCAUCCUGAGAAUUGCAGUAUGGGAUGUGUGCGUGUGUCAGCACCGUAUGGCUGCGGAAAGCAAGCAAACAGCGCUGGGUGGCCGGGAAGUCACCGCUCCACUCACGGCACACACCACUUACAAGUUCGGUGGUUGUUGGCUUCUGGUCCUGCUCGUAGUCUGGAGGGAGGCCCUUCACCAGUGUCUGCUAAAUAAUUUAAGUCUUGUACAAGUGCAUCAAGCUUUUUGUUAUACAUAAGCAUUUAGUCACUUUGUUGCAAUAUCCCUUAGCUUUACCACAACUUCCUCUAUUUUAUUCUAAGCAUCAGUCGUUUUUGCCACCUCAUCUCUUGACUCUACUAUACUUUUUUUUUUUUGUUCAAUGCUUUAUUUGGCUAUUCGGUCAGAAAGUUUCAAAACUGUUCUUUGUAGUUAUCCCAGGGACCGUGUCCACUUUCGACACAACAGAUACAAGCAUUUGCUGAUUCCAUUGCCAAGUGACACGAAUCACAAAAACAUUUUUCACAGUGCCCAUGCGGGGUGGGGUAGCCGCGGGAACUAGCGGCUCCGACUGUUAUUUUGCACAGUCCCAGACCUAAAGCUCUCACCCACUGCCAAACAUGGAUUGCGUGUACCCCUUUUCCAAACACCAUUCUUUCCCCCCGAAGAUACAAUAAACUACCUUUAAUUCGGUUGCAAAAUCCAUUUCCCCUUCCCCCAUCGAAAAAGAGUAUAAUUGGGGUCCAGAUGAACUGCACCUCUGAGAUCUCCCUGGACGUGGCCUGGUGAACUCCAUUGGCAGAACCCCGAAGGACUCCGGUGUACUACGUUUGAUAUACCCAUUCUUUUUCCUCCCUCUUUUCCCUUAUUUUCUCCCUUUUUCCCUGAUUCCUCCCCAACACAUUUUUGCUGUGGUUAUUUCAAUAAAGGUGCAU